rnacentral:rRNA from 1 species
UGGGGAAUUUUGGACAAUGGGCGAAAGCCUGAUCCAGCAAUGCCGCGUGUGUGAAGAAGGCCUUCGGGUUGUAAAGCACUUUUGUCCGGAAAGAAAUCCUUGGCUCUAAUACAGUCGGGGGAUGACGGUACCGGAAGAAUAAGCACCGGCUAACUACGUGCCAGCAGCCGCGGUAAUACGUAGGGUGCAAGCGUUAAUCGGAAUUACUGGGCGUAAAGCGUGCGCAGGCGGUUUGCUAAGACCGAUGUGAAAUCCCCGGGCUCAACCUGGGAACUGCAUUGGUGACUGGCAGGCUAGAGUAUGGCAGAGGGGGGUAGAAUUCCACGUGCAGCAGUGAAAUGCGUAGAGAUGUGGAGGAAUACCGAUGGCGAAGGCAGCCCCCUGGGCCAAUACUGACGCUCAUGCACGAAAGCGUGGGGAGCAAACAGGAUUAGAUACCCUGGUAGUCCACGCCCUAAAACGAUGUCAACUAGUUGUUGGGGAUUCAUUUCCUUAGUAACGUAGCUAACGCGUGAAGUUGACCGCCUGGGGAGUACGGUCGCAAGAUUAAAACUCAAAUGAAUUGACGGGGUCAUAGCUGUUUCCU